GGAGAGAUGGCUCAACGGUUAAGAGCACCGGCUGCUCUUCCAGAGGACCUGGGUUCAACUCCCAGCAUCUACA
rnacentral:tRNA from 1 species